rnacentral:rRNA from 1 species
GACGAACGCUGGCGGCGUGCUUAACACAUGCAAGUCGAACGGAAAGGCCCUGCUUUUGUGGGGUGCUCGAGUGGCGAACGGGUGAGUAACACGUGAGUAACCUGCCCUUGACUUUGGGAUAACUUCAGGAAACUGGGGCUAAUACCGGAUAGGAGCUCCUGCUGCAUGGUGGGGGUUGGAAAGUUUCGGCGGUUGGGGUUGGACUCGCGGCUUAUCAGCUUGUUGGUGGGGUAGUGGCUUACCAAGGCUUUGACGGGUAGCCGGCCUGAGAGGGGGGCCGGGCACAUUGGGACUGGGGUACGGCCCAGACUGCUACGGGAGGCAGCAGUGGGGAAUAUGGCACAGUGGGCGGAAGCCUGAUGCGGCAGCGCCGCGUGCGGGAUGACGGCCUUCGGGUUGUAAACCGCUUUCGCCUGUGACGAAGCGUGAGUGACGGUAAUGGGUAAAGAAGCACCGGCUAACUACGUG